GUGUCAGCAGCCGCGGUAAGACGUAGGGGGCGAGCGUUGUCCGGAAUUACUGGGCGUAAAGGGCAUGCAGGCGGUGCGCCAAGUCGGGGGUGUAAAGUUACGGCUUAACCGUGACCUUGCAAUCGAUACUGGCGUACUGGAGUGUGGGAGAGGGAAGUGGAGUUCCCGGUGUAGCGGUGAAAUGCGUAGAUAUCGGGAGGAACGCCAGUGGCGAAGGCGGCUUCCUGGCCCGCGACUGACGCUCAUGUGCGAAAGCCAGGGGAGCGAACCGGAUUAGAUACCCGGGUAGUCCUGGCCGUAAACGAUGGGUGCUAGGUGUAGGCGCGUCAAGCGCCUGUGCCGCAGUUAACGCGAUAAGCACCUCGCCUGGGGAGUACGGUCGCAAGGCUGAAACUUAAAGGAAUUGACGG
rnacentral:rRNA from 1 species